GCCCCCUUGGCCAAGGGGUAAGGCGUCGCACUUGUACGUACUUGUAUGCAAUGCGAAGAUCGGUUGUUCAAAUCAGCCAGGGGGCA
rnacentral:tRNA from 1 species